rnacentral:rRNA from 1 species
GACAGAGGGUGCAAACGUUGUUCGGAAUUACUGGGCGUAAAGCGCGUGUAGGCGGCCCUGCAAGUCGGGUGUGAAAUCCCACGGCUCAGCCGUGGAAGUGCAUUCGAAACUGCAGGGCUAGAGUCCUGGAGAGGAAGGUGGAAUGCUUGGUGUAGAGGUGAAAUUCGUAGAUAUCAAGCGGAACACCGGUGGCGAAGGCGGCCUUCUGGAUAGUGACUGACGCUGAGACGCGAAAGCGUGGGGAGCAAACAGG